AUGCCAUGAUGAGGGCAAGCUUCAGUCAACUCAUUUAAUCUUUCCCAAGCUUCAACAAUUGACUCCCCAUCAUUUUGACUAAAGUUUUAGGUGAGGUGCCU
rnacentral:snoRNA from 1 species